AUUGAACGCUGGCGGCAUGCCUUACACAUGCAAGUCGAACGGUAACAGGGAGCUUGCUCCGCUGACGAGUGGCGAACGGGUGAGUAAUACAUCGGAACGUGCCUAGUAAUGGGGGAUAGCCCGGCGAAAGCCGGAUUAAUACCGCAUACGCCCUGAGGGGGAAAGUGGGGGAUCGCAAGACCUCACGUUAUUAGAGCGGCCGAUGGCUGAUUAGCUAGUUGGUAGGGUAAAGGCCUACCAAGGCGACGAUCAGUAGCUGGUCUGAGAGGACGAUCAGCCACACUGGGACUGAGACACGGCCCAGACUCCUACGGGAGGCAGCAGUGGGGAAUUUUGGACAAUGGGGGAAACCCUGAUCCAGCAAUGCCGCGUGUGCGAAGAAGGC
rnacentral:rRNA from 1 species